rnacentral:rRNA from 1 species
UACGGAGGGUGCGAGCGUUAAUCGGAAUUACUGGUCGUAAAGAGUGCGUAGGUGGUUGAAUAAGUUAUCUGUAAAAUCCCUGGGCUUAACCUGGGCAGGUCAGAUGAUACUGUUUGACUCGAGUAUGGGAGAGGGUAGUGGAAUUUCCGGUGUAGCGGUGAAAUGCGUAGAGAUCGGAAGGAACACCAGUGGCGAAGGCGGCUACCUGGCCUAAUACUGACACUGAGGCACGAAAGCGUGGGGAGCAAACAGG